AUUGUUUUGAAUCGAGUAAUAAGCUGUUAAUCAGAGAGGAAGAGAAGAAAUGCCGUAGUAAACGAAUGGAAGGAAAAUGUCAAGGACAAUGUAAUCAUUCUAUUUCGCCUUCUCCCAAAAAACAGAAAAAAGUCGAAGGCAAAA
rnacentral:ribozyme from 1 species